GGGAAGUACUUUCCGUGGCCAUAGUAGCAUCUUGGACAGGAACCCUUAGGCCAGGGGCCAUACAAAAUCGGAACAGAAAGACAAUCCUUGCUCCAAAGGAGCUCACAGUGAGACAAGAGACAACAAAUGGCUAUUGCACACAAUGGCAAGGUCCAGCUCGUGAAGAUUCACAUACCUUAGAUAAAAUGCAAAUAAUUUCAUCUUAAUAAUGUCACCAAUCUGGCAAAUAUUUCACAUGACGAGUUUUGAAGAAUCUUCUUCUCCAGCAACGGUACAGUCUGAGCAGCCAACCCAAGAAGUCUGAAGGAAAGGUGACUUUAAUUGAAAGAGCAGGUGCCCUGCUGGUAGCUACCUCUGCUUGCCUGUCCCCUCUGUUGCUCAUUCAAGUCCAUGCCCACCACAGCUAGAAAUGCAGCUUUGAUGGUGAUAAGAAGUAGCAGUAAUCCUGCUCACUGAGCACGCAGGGAGUGAGAACAGACCAGGAACCUGAGAGCAAAGCUGUCAUUGUGCUAUCAAAAGAAAAAAAAGGUGGCACAAACCCUACUCCUUUAGAGGAAAAGGCCCAUCUUCAAAUACCGCUUAGAAGGGGAAUAACCUGUAAAAGAAAGGGACGAAUCUAACAGGGUGUUGAGGGCAAGAAGAUAAAUAAGCAAAGUGAGAAAAAUUAAACUCAGAGCAGUAUAAACCUUUAGUAAGUGCUGCAUUUCUGUGGAAGAAGAAAAUAUCUCUCUUCAGGUUAACUCAAGGAGUCAUUCUGACAGCACUUUGGUACUGCCAUGUCCAGCAGUUGAUUGUAAUCACUGAACAUGAGAUUUUAAAUCACAUGGGAGUUUUUAUUUAAUACUUUAGUAGCUCCAGCAAAAGGUCUGAUUUACCUUGCUCACUGAGUCAUUUUUAGAAAAACCAUCUUUCCAGGCACUCAGCCUUCAAUAAACUUUGCAAAGAAGAGUUAAAAAUAAUGCUAAACCUGGAAGACUAUGACAGUUGGCAAGAGAGGCUGUUUAAGUAAUUGACAGGAGUAUCUGUCAAUAGAACAGGAUGGGAGAUGGAAAUUUGUAAUCCAGAGAGAGGGACAACACCUUCCUGUACUUGGAGAAGUUAUGCCCAUUUCUUUUCAAAGUGAGGCACUGGCCACGACAAUGAGAGGGCAGGAGGCACACAUCUGUCCCACCAGGAUUGUUUUUGUAUUUCUAAUACUGUGGAUCAGACCCUCAGGUGGGGUCUGUGAAGAAAACUUGAUUUAGGCAUCCAGGGGUGCGUUAGUGGAACUCUGCUCCACUGGUGAGUGGAGUUCAAAGCACCAUUCAAGCCAUCUGUCAGCUGAGAGGGAAAUUAUGUCUCCAUAGGUUGAAAUGGGGACUUUGAUGCACACCUGUAGAUGUCUAAAUGUGGCUUUCAUUCUGUGAGCUGAAUGUCAACAGUGGAAGUAAACUAUCAGAGCUACAUCAGCUGGCAGUAGCUAUAAAUCUGAGCCUAUUAUUUUCCUGACUUCCAGCAUGUCUAUGUCCUUAUUUACAUUAACCAAAGUUAGUUGACAACAGUUUGCUAAUGAAUUCACUACUGGCAGCAGGAUAGAAAUUAAGGUAUUUUACAGAUCCUCAUAAAAUAGAUUGCUAACUGUUCAUGAAAUAUUAAAUUCAGGGGCUUAUGCCUAGAAUAUUUAAUGCAGUUAAUGAUGCAUCUUUGACCUCCUUUGUGCUUCGGUGGUUUGGCCAAAGUAUUCAUACAUCUGGAAUUUGGCUUCUUCAUAAAAUGUUAAGUAAAAGCAAAGUUGUCAUCACAUACAUGAGAGAUUACAGAGCUUUGCUUUAGAAAUUUCACCUUCACUGUGUCUGUACUUUUGAGUAAAAUGACACAUUUUAAGUACCUCUUUGAAUGUAACAGAGCAUUUGCUGGUCUCAAGGAAUGUAAUACUUUACUUGCUUCAAGUUGAGGGAAGAAUUUUCCUCUGGCUCUGUAGUGCAAUGCACUCCUUAAAUGAGCUCGGUUUGCCUGCAAAAACCUCCUGCAGAGCUGUGCAAUGGCAUGGCAAGUAAUAGCUUAAACCUGCCUAGAGCAGCAUCUUUUAAGAAAAAAAAUUCCAGCCAGUGUCACAUUUAGUCAGCACUGGAGAUGCUGUCAGUGCUCUAGCUGAGACUGCCAAAUUUUAGCCUUGAAAAUGGUAAGUCAGCCUUGCUCUUGUGUCCUGUUCUUCCCACUUCUUGGGGCAAACAGCUGGAUUCACGCACAACCUGCUUGUUCCAGGACAUGCUAAGAAACGGUGAACUGCAGCCAAUGCUUGCUCUGAGGAAGAGGAGCUCUGGCAGGGAAAAAUAUGCUAAAAAUGUGCCAAGACCUGCCACUUGAAGAAGAUACUCCAGAGUUUGAAGAAAUAAGAAAAGCUUGCAAUUAUUUCUAGUAACUGUUUUUCUCUCUUCCUACAACAACACAGACUGUUUUAAGUAAUCUCCUGAGGUAAUGAUCUGCUUUUCCAAAAGGGUUUUUAUAGUCCUUUUCCUGUCUUCUCUGGAGCAUGGCUAUAUGAAUUGAAAGUUUAUUUACCUGGGCUUCGACACAAUUUGUUUUAGAAUUCAUCUCUGUAUCCUUGAA